UACGGAGGAUCCAAGCGUUAUCCGGAAUCAUUGGGUUUAAAGGGUCCGUAGGCGGUUUAGUAAGUCAGUGGUGAAAGCCCAUCGCUCAACGGUUGAACGGCCAUUGAUACUGCUAGACUUGAAUUAUUAGGAAGUAACUAGAAUAUGUAGUGUAGCGGUGAAAUGCUUAGAGAUUACAUGGAAUACCAAUUGCGAAGGCAGGUUACUACUAAUGGAUUGACGCUGAUGGACGAAAGCGUGGGUAGCGAACAGG
rnacentral:rRNA from 1 species